rnacentral:rRNA from 1 species
AUUGAACACUGGCGGCAGGCUUAACACAUGCAAGUCGAGCGAGCGGCGGACGGGUGAGUAAUGUCUGGGAAACUGCCUGAUGGAGGGGGAUAACUACUGGAAACGGUAGCUAAUACCGCAUACCAUCAGAUGUGCCCAGAUGGGAUUAGCUAGUAGGUGGGGUAAUGGCGCACCGAGGCGACGAUCCCGAGCUGGUCUGAGAGGAUGGCAAGCCACACUGGAACUGAUACACGGUCCAAACGCCGACGGGAGUCAGCAGUGGGGAAUAGUGGAAUAUGGGCGCAAGCCUGAGGCAGCGAUGCCGCGUGUGUGAAGAGGGCCUUCAGGUUGUAGAGCACUAACAGCGAGUAGGCGUUACUCGCAGAAGAAGCACCGGCUAACUCCGUGCCAGCAGCCGCGGUAAGUC